GUCAGCUCGUGUCGUGAGAUGUUGGGUUAAGUCCCGCAACGAGCGCAACCCUUGCCCUUAGUUGCCAUCAGGUAAUGCUGGGAACCCUAAGGGAACUGUCGGCGAAAAGCCGGAGGAAGGUGGGGAUGACGUCAAGUCCUCAUGGCCCUUACGUCCUGGGCUACACACGUGCUACAAUGGCAGGUACAAAGGGUCGCCAACCCGCGAGGGGGAGCUAAUCCCAAAAAACCUGUCCCAGUUCGGAUUGCAGUCUGCAACUCGACUGCAUGAAGGCGGAAUCGCUAGUAAUCGCAGAUCAGCAUGCUGCGGUGAAUACGUUCCCGGGCCUUGUACACACCGCCCGUCACAUCACGAAAGUGGGUUGUACUAGGAAUCGCUGAGCUAACUCGUAAGAGAGGCAGGCGCU
rnacentral:rRNA from 1 species